rnacentral:misc_RNA from 1 species
AUUGUUGCGACCAAUACCAUGUAUAUAUUGAAGGGAGUAUUGAACUCGCUUGUUGUUUGGUAUCUCAACUCCUCCAACACGGACACACUUGAUUUGAAGACCACGGACCUGAGGGUUUGAAAUGGGAAAGGAAAGGGUGUUAGAGAGAGGAUUGGAGUUGCGAGCAUUGCAGAUAACGGAAAGCGAAGGAGCGAGGGGCAUUGCUAACGUCUGCG